GCAAAACGCGAAGAACCUUACCAAGGCUUGACAUACACCAGAACACCCUAGAAAUAGGGGACUCUUUGGACACUGGUGAACAGGUGGUGCAUGGUUGUCGUCAGCUCGUGUCGUGAGAUGUUGGGUUAAGUCCCGCAACGAGCGCAACCCUCGUUCUAUGUUGCCAGCACGUAAUGGUGGGAACUCAUGGGAUACUGCCGGGGUCAACUCGGAGGAAGGUGGGGAUGACGUCAAAUCAUCAUGCCCCUUAUGUCUUGGGCUUCACGCAUGCUACAAUGGCCGGUACAAAGGGCUGCAAUACCGUGAGGUGGAGCGAAUCCCAAAAAGCCGGUCCCAGUUCGGAUUGAGGUCUGCAACUCGACCUCAUGAAGUCGGAGUCGCUAGUAAUCGCAGAUCAGCAACGCUGCGGUGAAUACGUUCCCGGGUCUUGUACACACCG
rnacentral:rRNA from 1 species